UAGAGAAGUUUUGAAUGUUGAGGAAUGGACAGUGUAUUGUGAUUGACUCUUGUGCUGACAAAAGAGUCAAAUGGUUAGUUGAGCUUGUGCUGAAUUUGCUAUUAUUGAGGAUAUUUUCACUGUACUUGAUGUACUAAGAUGGAGUAACUGUCUGUUCUGGUUCUUAUAAGCUUUCCCUCAUUUUUAGCUGUCUAUAGUUAUAAGAAUUUUUCACCAUAUUGAUUGAGUUGGAUAAGGCCUGUAAGGUAGUAGUAUUGUAGCGUGCUG
rnacentral:misc_RNA from 1 species